rnacentral:rRNA from 1 species
GACGAACGCUGGCGGCGUGCUUAACACAUGCAAGUCGAACGGAGAGGCCCGGCCUUUGUGGGGUGCUCGAGUGGCGAACGGGUGAGUAACACGUGAGUAACCUGCCUUUGACUGUGGGAUAACUUCAGGAAACGGGGGCUAAUACCGGAUAGGAGUAGCUGCUGCAUGGUGUGGGUUGGAAAGGUUCGGUGGUUGGGCAAGGAGUCGGGGCUUAUUAGCAUGUUGGUGGGGGUGUGGCAUACCAUGGCCUAGGCGGGUAGCCGGCCUGAGAGGGUGACCGGCCACAUUGGGACUGAGAUAGGGCCCAGAGUCCUACGGGAGGCAGCAGUGGGGAAUAUUGCACAAUGGGCGGAAGCCUGAUGCAGCAACGCCGCGUGCGGGAUGACGGCCUUCGGGUUGUAAACCGCUUUCGCCUGUGACGAAGCGUGAGUGACGGUAAUGGGUAAAGAAGCACCGGCUAACUACGUG